CAUCUUGGAAACAUUAACUUUGCAAAAUCAGAGGAAGAAACUGAUUCAUCAGUUCUAGAAAAUGAAGAGUCCAAGUUGCAUCUCCAAAUAACCGCAGAACUUCUCAUGUGCGAUCCUAGUGCUUUGGAAGAUGCACUUUGUAAGCGUGUGAUGAUUACCCCAGAGGAAGUUAUUAAAAGAAGUCUUGAUCCUCUUGGUGCAACGGUUAGCAGGGAUGGUUUAGCCAAAACACUAUAUUCUUGUUUAUUUGACUGGUACUAUGUUAAUGUCAAGUGUAAAAUUAUGAAUUUAAAAUAUGAAAAAUGUGUCCUAUCCUAUGUUUAUUGCACUUAUGUUAUUUGAAUCUGAAUAAUUUUUUAUCUGUUCUAUUGUUAUGUGCAGGUUAGUCCAAAAAAUCAAUGUCUCAAUUGGGCAAGACCCAGAGUCAAAAUGUCUCAUUGGUGUUCUUGACAUAUAUGGCUUUGAAAGCUUUAAGAAUAACAGUUUUGAGCAGUUUUGUAUUAAUUUCACAAAUGAAAAGCUGUAGCAACAU